CUAUUCUAACAUGGUACCAAGGUAGUGUCUGGUACUGAGACAGUGAACCUUGGCCUGAAGGAUUAUAAGGCUUCCAAAAAAGCUACUUGAAGGCUUUUGUGCAUGUGUUAUACAUGUAUAUAUGUACGUGUCUCCAUGUUAUGUCCAUAUGUAUGUAUAUAGCAUGGAUUAUGGAGGAGAGCUAAUCUACUUCUCUCAUGUCUGAAGUCAAUAAUGGAGCAUUUAAAUCA
rnacentral:lncRNA from 1 species